rnacentral:rRNA from 1 species
UACGUAGGGUGCGAGCGUUAAUCGGAAUUACUGGGCGUAAAGUGUGCGCAGGCGGCACCGCAAGUCGAGUGUGAAAGCCCCGGGCUUAACUUGGGAAUUGCGCUCGAAACUAUGGUGCUGGAGUGUGGCAGAGGAAGGUGGAAUUCCUGGUGUAGCGGUGAAAUGCGUAGAUAUCAGGAGGAACACCGGCGGUGUAGACGGCUUUCUGGACCGUAGCUGACGCUGAGACACGAAAGCGUGGGUAGCAAACAGG